AAACUGGGAUUAGAUACCCCACUAUGCUUAGCCCUAAACAUAAAUAUUUAACUAACAAAACUAUUCGCCAGAGUACUACUAGCCAUAGCUUAAAACUCAAAGGACUUGGCAGUGCUUUAUAUCCCUCUAGAGGAGCCUGUUCUAUAAUCGAUAAACCCCGAUCUACCUCACCACCUUUUGCAAUAUCAGCCUAUAUACCACCAUCUUCAGCAAACCCUAAUAAGGCAACAAAGUAAGCAUAAAAAUAUUACAUAAAAACGUUAGGUCAAGGUGUAGCCUAUAAGGUGGAAAGAAAUGGGCUACAUUUUCUACCCCCUAGAAUAACAAACACGACAGCUUCCAUGAAACUUCAAGUCCAAGGUGGAUUUAGUAGUAAGCUAAGAAUAGAGAGCUUAGCUGAAUUGGGCAAUA
rnacentral:rRNA from 1 species